rnacentral:lncRNA from 1 species
AACAGAACAAUAUCACCAAAAAUAUAGACAUGGUCCUCGAACCAUGAGGACUCACCACUGAGGAAACGUAGUUGAGGUACUCAAAUAUCGCUAACACAGCUGCGGCUGAGUACCUGAACCUACAUUAUGAGAAAAUAUAGCCCAUAGAAAAAUUUUUGGGUCAACUCUUUGGAAUGUACUGAGUAUGUGGGGGCGCAUGCAACAAUGUAAAUAUCAUCAUCAAUUUCAUGAAAAUAUGCAUAUGUACAAUGAUGGCUCACUUGGCUUGAGUUAGAUUGAAACAUACGUUGCAUGAUCUCAUAGUAAAUAAAUCAUAUGAUAAAAACCUCAUAAAUCAUCAUAAACAACUCAACUCUUUAACUCAAGACACGGAGUGACUCGUAAUUCAAGAAACUUAACUCUUAUGGACAUGGGAGGUUCUUAUAACCAACAUAAACCAUGUGAGCUACAUGGAAUCCAACAUUUUUCCCUCCUAUGGAGAGAUCCCCACAUUGGCAGGAGCAUCAUACUCUUGCCAGGGAGUACAACCUAAAUUUAGUGAUCAUAAUCUCAUACUCAGACUCUGGACCACAAUUAUCAAUAUCAAUCCUACGGUGACACAUAGUUUUGGGGAAAAUACCACAUUUCCCACCGGUGCUAAAUACUACUGCUAGACACAAGCUCAAAACGCGUUAGGAAUCCACCACAAACAUCACAAGGGUCUAUCAUGAAGACCAAAUCAAAUCGCUUUCUCAUUUAUCAAAUCACAAUCAAUUUAUGGAUUUCUAACUUGGCUUAAAUCAAAUUAAUAUUUCUCAAUAUCAAAAUGUGUCAAUUCAUUAAAUCAUGACAACAUCAAUAACUUUGAGGAAAUAUCAAGACUCAUUGUAACAACUAAAUCUCAUGAAUUAAUAUACUCAAUAAUCUAGUUUGUCAUAAGGAAUCUUAAAGCUUGACAAAUAUCUUGACAGUACUUGAAAUAUCAACUCAUGGUAGAAAUAUGAAAUUCACAAUAUUAAAUGUCAAGUAAUACCUUGGGAAUAGUAAAAUAAUCAUGUAUAACAAAGCUUGAAGAAUUUAUAUUCUCAUAGUCUCAUGCUGAAGUAAUUUGGGUAUAAACCUACUUGCAAAAUUAUAUAAAUCCAUGAUAGGAAUCAAAGCUUUGGGCAUAAGAACGAAAGCAUUGCUCUUGUUCAAAAUCCCACAUACCUUGGAUUAUAACUUUAAGAUGAAAAGAAUUGAUUGGAAACUCUUCUUUAAACUUUUGAGCUAAGUUUCUUGAUGCCUUUGACUUGGAGAACUUGAUUCUUCAAAAACUUGGUGAAAUCUAUGAAAAAAUUCUUGAAUUUCUUGAAGAAGAUUUGAUUUGGAUUUGGAAGAGAGAAACCAUAGUUCUAGAUAUUUCUUGGAAGAGAAAUGGAGAAGAAUGGAUUUCUCUUCUCUACUUGAAUCUAUAUAUUGAGGGCCAAACUGGGCGGAAAGACCAAAAUGCCCUUGAGUAAAUUCUAAUACUGUAGCCCGAUUUUUGGCCUUGGAGCGGCACUCCAUGAUCGCAAUCCUUCACUGGAUUUUGGUAAACUGAGAAUUUGCUUUGUAGGGCGAUGCAGUGAAAUCGUGUUGCCCCUUGGUUAUGACCUGAAAGGGCACCGCGACACGGUGGAAUCACGUUGGUGCACUAGAAUUUGACAAUCCUGAUAUUGAGCCUUGGCGCGAUGCGGUAAUAUCAUGGAGGCUAACUGAAAAGUGAUAAUUGGGAUAUUACUCAUCUCCGCGACAUGCUGAGGGUCUAAAUAGCAAAGUUUCCCAACUGGGACUUCAGAUAGUCAUAACUUCUUGCUCCGAUCUUCGAUUUUGAUGAAAUUGGUAUCGACGGAAAGCUUAUUCAAAUAUCCACAUGAUAGAAAGUAGAAAUUAGGGGAAUAAAACAUGGUUUAAACAACAUUCACUUUGUAAGUCUUUUCCAUUUGCUCAAAAGACGAAUUUAGGCUUACGAAAUGGUCGGGGUAUUACAUACCUUUACAAAGAAAUUUGGUUAAAAAUAGGUGAAAAUCACCCAAAUCCCCUAAGCCCUUCCCAAAAUGAUUUUAUAAAUAAUAAACCAUUUUUGGGUACUUUUCUGCAUAAAUCUACAUAUAUCCUGCUAUUUUAACCUUGCUAUAUUAGAAUUCACUACUAUGGUAAAACUAAUCUAUGUUGACUGCCGCUAUAGUGAGAAACUUUACGAAAUAUCAACAUUAUCAUAGCAACCUGCCACCUGCUAUAGCAGGUGUGGUGAGGCAAAAGCUCUAGAUUGCUCUUAAUUUUUCCUUUUCCUCAAUCCACCCCCGAACUGUGACAUUCCGGACUAACUCCUUUAUAUUUGAUUUGAUAUCGGGAGUUCUACUUACCCGAAUUCACUUUCAAAAACUCCUACGAAUUCUUUAUCUUCUUACCUAACAUAAAAAUAAGCUAAAUCUUUUCACAUUUACUAAAUUUGUAUUCAUAUUUUCCUAGACUAUGCCUUACUCGGAUUUCAUCCAAGGCUAGCCUAGCCUAAUAUUUUUAACUCCCAACACGGUGAAAAACUUAUCCCAAAUUUUGUAUGCCAGACUCACCUGUAACUACGAAAAGUGUUGUUACAAUAGACUUAUAGAUUGCUUGGAUUAAUUAUCGAAUUGAAUUAUGUUGUUAUUUCAAAUACCAUAUAUUUCUAUUUUUACUUAUAUUUUAAUGUAUUAUAUCCUUAAAUUUAUUUAUUGAAAAAGACAAAAUUUUUCAUUUUGUGUGAUGAGCGACUUGGUGUCACCCCAUCAUUACCUUAUUUGUUUUUUCAUAUAUCUUCAUUUUCCUAUUUAAAUAAUGAUCGAUUUCAUAUGGAACAUGAAUAUAUGUGAUUUAUCAAAAUGUCAGCUUAGGAUAUUUUGUUAUCUUAUGUAUAAAAUAUGAUUUGUUUGUUUAGUAAGAUUAUAUAAGAAUUGAGAAAAUUUUGAUAGUUUUCACAAUUUAUUAAAUUCUCAUGUUUAAAAAAAAUAUACAACUUUAAGAAAUCCAAAUUGCAUUUCCAUACAAACUUCAACUUCAUAUCAUUUUAUUUGAAGGAAUCCAUCUAUAAAUACCUAAUGUUAGCAUGACACUUUACUUAAAAAACACAACUAAUUCUUGUACCAUUUAAACAUCUAAAGUAAGUUCAAUUUUUGUCAUUUUGACACUUUCACUUGGAUUGUUAUCUGAUUUUUCACCUCAAAUAUGCAUGUGAAGAGCCUAAAAAUAGAUUUGUUGUGUUCUUAUUCUUUUUAUUUCCUUCUUCUUCUUUAUUUUUUUCUCUUUCUUCUUUACUUAAUAUUCUAUCAUUAACAAUAUUUCACCAUUGUUAUUUUAUCUACCGAAGUAAAUGGAAACCAUCUCUAUUUACUAAAAAUAUGUGACAUUUUUUUUGUAAAAUAUUAAUCAAAAGAUGAAUUUUAAGUUCGUAAAAUAAAUUAGCCAGAAAAGAAUAUCACCCUACCCUUAUUCUUCUUUUCUUUAUUUUUUCUUUACCAUUAUGUCUGUCACUACACACCACUAAUCCGUGUUGCUAUUUUUAUUACUAAUGAUACCACUAAAACUUUAAUAAUUAACUUUUAAAAAAAAUUAACUCACUUACAAAUUAUAUAGAAAAACCAUGAAAGAUCUAAAUGCAUGCACAAAGUCAGAGAGAUGCAACAUAAUCUUACAACACUUGACACAAAAAGAGCACUUGCCAAUUCUUUAUGUCAAAGAUACAAUUCAGCUUAAACAACCUUUUUUCAUUCAUAUGAACCAAUGACAUUUAGAGAUUCGAAAUAGCCAGCUAUGUGAAAUUGGACCAUGAGUGUUAACAAAAUAAGGAGGGGUGCCUAUUUUCCAAAAUCCACAAAUAAACAAGGAAUUAGCCAAUGCUUUCUAUAGUCUAAUCGAGUAACACACAAAAACAAAACCUAAGCAUGCUGAUUCUCCUAGAUAACAACCGAGGGAAAAGAAAAAUGGUGAUAAAAACUCGUGAAUGUUGGCAGAUCCAUAGGUACUCCACCCCGACCAAAGAAACAUACAUUAACCGUAAUGCUUCCAAUCAAUAAAUAAGAACUAGGAGAAAGGAAUACCUAUGAACCUUUAAGAUUUAAUGUCUAGCAAGUCUGUGGAGGCCAUAGUAGCCUCAAUAUCUACAAUAGUGACCCCAGUGUCAACUGGAGUACUCAAACCAUCCACAACCUUCUCGAUCACCAGAGUGACAAUAGGCAACAUCAAUAGUGUGAACCCAACUCUAGCUAUCAAGAUAGAAGAAAAUCCCAUUAUCCAGUAUUGUUCACUCUUCUGCAACAAUUUCUCAUCUUUCCUGGAGGCUUUCAUAGCCUUCUAUAAUUCUCUCUUCUUAGGUGUCUCAUCCUAAUAGUUUUUUCUCUUAGAUUUUCUCUUUCCUUUACCUUUACUUGGUGCCUUGUCCUUACCACAUUAAAUUAAGUAUUUAGUUAUCAUUAUCUGAUUCAUAAUUGAGCGAUUAGGAAAUCUAGUAAUGGGGGCCUUUUUCAAUGUGGCAAUGUUAUCUUGAGCCUUUUUAAAUUCGGUGGUGAACUUGGACACAUUUAGAAUUGAGAAUUCUAUUAGCAUGUGAUUCACCCUCUAAUGCACAUCAUCUAUAUGGGAAUGUAGAUUAGCAUAUGACUUCUAAGUCUCUGCAACAACUACAUCCAUAAGUGGAUUUAACUACUUAGCCUAAGUAUCCAACUACUUUUCAAAUUACUUUUACUUCUUGACCACCACUCAUAAAAUUUUUAGGUUGUGAAUUGAUAUUUAUAAUAAUCAUAUGGUAUGGAGGCAGAGUAUGUAGUCUCAACAAUGAGGGAUAUAACAACUGUCUCAGAUACAACAGAAGCAUACUAUGAGAGUACCAGAUGCCUCUAGAGUGGUUUGAGACUGAGGUCCAAAUUAUGGCAGCUUAUAAACCAUUAACUCAAACUUUGUCUUAUCUCUGGUCUUGUCAAUGUCUUACUUAUUUAUGGAUCAUACUUCAUUAUCCACUCUACUGAUGUUUGACACUUUUGCCUGUAUACAUCGCUCUAUGAUUAUACAAAGGAAUGGCAAUGAAUUUGCAAUCUUGACAGCCUAUACAAAUAGCUUAUGACUAAUAAAUUAGCCAAAGUUGAUUUUUAGUCAUUCCACCAAACAUAUAGUUAUUAUAGCACAUUGCUCAUCUAGGUUGGUAUCACUAGCUAUAGGCAUCAAUCAUAACCUAAUCACAACCUACUGGAACUUUUUUAUGAAACUCAGGGAUGAUUUGGCUAACUAUUCUUUACUUUUUAACCAUAAGGGAUCUCUACUCUCUAUCAAUAUCUGAGCCAUCUAUGGAUGCUGAGUAGAAAGUUAAUCAAACUCUUGGGGUGAUAGCUGGCGGUGCCUAAAAUUUCCCCUAUGAAAUAUGAUUGAUUGUACGCUCAGAGGUGUCCAUAAAAACCCCACGAAUCAUAACUCUCUCACCAAAUUUUCCAUGUCACUAACCUUUUUACCGUUUGGGAAAUCCUUCUUGAGCAUGGCCAAGUAGUUUGUAUAACAUUCAUGGAUGAUGGUAGGGUAAUAAGUCUCAAGUGGUAUACUCAGAAGGCCUAACUCAUACUCAUUGAAUUGUCGUUCAAUGUCUAGAUACUCUAGCAGGUCAGUUGUUACUAUAUGAUAUUCCUUAGAAAAUGACCUCUUCAUGCUUCUUGACUUGGUUGGUUCAAUUCCAUCAAAGUAAUGUAUUUUUGCCCCAUCAACCUGCCACCUAAUGUACUUUUGCACCCCAGGAUUUUUUCUUUGAAUUACGUCUCUAUUUUUUGUUCAAGUUCCUUUUUUGGACUAUUAGCAACUUCAGUUUAAUCCUUUUCAUAUGGGUUAGUGCUAGAACUAUUACUGCUCUCCCCAUCACUACUUUAUUUCUCACUUGACAACCCAUCUUUCUCUUUAGAUUGGGAGUUUUGAGUGUGUUUGCUAUCACUUUGCCUAGUGUUGUAGGCUAGUGCCUCUAUAUCCUCAAACUCAUUAUCUAGUUCAUAUCUAAGUCUCGAGGGUUAGGUAUAUCUUUCUUUCCUUUUCCUUGCUCUACCUUUUGUUGUUUGAAGAUUUUAAGGCAUGUUACCAAUAAAGAGAAACAAUUAAACAUUGCACAAAACAAAAAGCAUCAAUUAAUAUUGCACUAUAAUAACAUUGCAUCUUUUUGAUGAUUAGGGGUAACGAUUCGUCACAUAGGUGAUGACUCGCCAACCUUUUUUGUUAGUUCUUUCUAUAUUAUUAACCAUAUAUUAAGGAUGACCUUGACAAGUUGUCAUAAGUCUGAUGGUUUGUUAGAUGAACCAUUAGACAAAAAUAAAAUACUACAUAACUUUCUCUCUUUUGGUGGUUUAGCUUGGUGAUCCAUCACCUUUGUGAUAGUUCAUCACCUGAGUCGUCAAUAUUUUCCAACAAAUUAUUUAUUCAAUUGGAGUUUUAUCAAAUGUAUGAUGCACAUAUAAGAUCCAUAAAAUUUUAACAAUUUUUUUUGACCUCAUCGCGUGCAUAAUGUUAAUUUUUGACUUGAAUUAUGAUUUGGGAUGUUAAAAGGGUGUUUUGGGAAAAUUUUGAAUUUUUAAAAGGAGUUCAGGGUUAUUUUGAGAUGUCGAGGCAAUAAAACUCUAUGAUAGUAGUAUGCCACAGAAGGUUAACCUUUGUAAUAAGGGCGUGGCAUGGAGGCUAACCUCCGCAAUAAGGAUGUACCUCGCUCCUAUGUUAAAUUCAUUUAGUUUUUAUUUUUUUCACUUGGGGUGAGGGCCUUUUAGUAUUUUUACCACUUGUUCAACUUAUAAACAUAAAAUAACCCUCUUCCCUUCAGUUUUAAAAGAUCAAAAUCCUUUGUUUUCCUCUUUAACUGAAAACCCAAGAACAUUCAAGGGUUUUACAAGAAAUCACUACUCUUGGCUCCAAACUUCAAUUUUUAUUCAAAUUCUUUAGUAUUUCAAGUAUGUUUCUCAUUCCUUAACUUUAAUUUUACAUUGUGUCAUUAAUUUGUAAUAUGCAUAUGACUUAAAUUGAUGGUUUUAAAAUUGGGUUAAGGGCUUUUGGUUGUUUUUACAUGAAGUACUUGUCCCAUGUUUUAAAUGAAUUAUUUAUGUUUUAAUUGAUGAUUUUAGGAAUGAAUUGGUGCAUCGCUGAUGGUAGGAAUGGGGGACAUGAAUUUCCCCAAUUUGACAAAAGUUUGGCUUGAUAAUGACAUUAACCUCAACCCACUUUGUAAUCUUGAUUUUGAACAUGAAUAAUUGCAUAAUUUAACUUGUCUUUUGUAGUCACUUCAUUGUAUUAAAGGAUAAAUGGAUAAAUAUGGUUUUGGAAAGCCUUGAUGGCCAUGGUUUUGGAUUUUGAAUGGAGAUUGGGAGUCAAACAAUUAUGUGGAUUGGUUUGGCAUAAUUGAAUUAGCUUGCAAAUAUAUUAAUAUGGUGAUAACAAGUUGGUAAAUGCCUUAAUGAAGGACUCCUGGGUUACUGGUUAGCUUAUGUGAAAACUAUUUUAAUUUGGUCUUAAAGAAAAUUAUGUAGCUCACCGUAAAGGUGUAGGUCCCGAGGGGAUCAAAACUGGAAACAACCUUUGUCGGCAUUGGGGGUCUAUAUGACCGUAUUCUUGGUGCACACAUUAUGUAUGCAUAUAUAUAUAUGGGAGGGAUAUAAACUUGGUGCCUUUAUCCCUUUCCUUGAUUUUCCUCGAUUCUUACAACUAACACACACUGAUGCCCUUCCAGUAGGGGGAUCUUGUCCCAUAUAUUCCAUGGGUUCCUUUAGGACAGAGCAAGCUACAUAGGUCAGGCUAACAUUUUAAACUCUCACAUUUAUGAAUCUUGUCCCUAUCCCUACAUGCUAUAUACAUAUACACACACACGAAUGUGGUGCAUAUGGUUUACAACUGGAUUUUGGUAAAUACAUUAUUUUAUCCCUAUACCCUGAGUUACAUGCUAGUGCUCGUCCUAUUGACCGUCCUUGAACACUGCAUCAUUUUAUGAUUUGGGUUCGGAGGACUUUUUUAGUGCUCCUGUGUAGUGUUAGGUGGUUGAGUACUUCUGUUGAUUAUCUAUAAAGUGGUGAGCCUUUAUCCAAGGCUUGGCCAUUUCAUUGGUUUCAUUACUAUUUUAGUCUUUCUUUUGGACCCUUUUUGGUAUUUUUGGAUUAGAUGCUUUUGUGGACAGAAGUGGGAUAUUAUUGAUGUCUUGUUUUGACUCUUACAUUUUCUUUUGGUAUCAUUUAUAUAUCAUUUGUUUGGUUGGCUUCCACUGUUUAAUAUUAAUGUGCUCUUGAGGUAAGCCUAAGAGGGUGGUCUCCAGUCCAUGGUAAGCUUGAGAUUACCUGUCAAGGCCAUGCCUGAGUUCAUGCCAUGAUACACACCUUCUACUUUUUAUUUAGAAUUCCGAGUUUCAACUUAUUUUUACAUUUCCAAUCAGACAAGUAUCAAGCUUGUACCCGAGUUACAAAGACCACCCAUUGGUUUCCCAAAACUCAAACUUGAGUACAACACAACCCUUUUUGAGUUUAGGCACAAAUAGUGGUGGCUAUGUUGUCCUUAAUUCAAUAAUCAUAUAAAAUAAAAACGAGUAAAAAAUAUGUACACUAAAUUGAGAUCAAAAUGACUUUGAGCACAUCUAAGAGUUGGAUGAAUAAGAAAAACUCCUGUCAAAGAUCUUAAGCACAACGCUAUGUUUUUGGAAAAAGAAAUAGGUUUUAUGGGAUUUGGAUGGGGUAGAGAUUAGAUUUUGUAGUGGCUUUGUUUGAGAAAUGGAAAUGAAUGAGCAUGGGUGAGGUAACCGUUAUAGGAGUUAUGGUUUUUUUAACAAUGGGAAGUUAUUAUGGUAAGGGAAAGGACUUAAGAUAGCAAUCCGAUCAAUUAACUUGUACUAUAAAAAGGCUUUGGUUAGAAUAGGGUUUUGGUUUUUGUUUAGGUUACUAUUGGGUUAAGGUUUUAUUAUUGUUGGAUUCAAGUUGUUUCGGGUAUGCGUUUGAGUUAUUGAAUUGAAAUUAAAAUGAUAAGUGAACUUACUCGUGACACUUAGGCUGAUGGUCCGUCAAGUAACUGAAGGUUCACUAAGUGCAUCAUCAGGAUUAAGUGGAUUGUAUUACAAGUAAGAUAGCUCUAAUGGUUGGGUUGCUGGUUCAUCAUCAUAGUGAUGGUUCGUUGCAUGAACCAUCAACCCUUAAUCAAAAUGACUCAUUUCUUGACCCUUUGUGUCGGUUUCGUUGAUGGUCCAUCAGAGCUUUGAUGGAUCAUUGAGUGGUCCACCAUACCUUAACCAGAAUGAUUGACUUUCUUAUAUUUUAUGGUAUCUCAUUAUGGUUUGCCAGUUCAGUGAUGGCUCAUCAAAAUGACCCAUCAACCUUAAACAAUAUCCAAUUUAAAUCUUCUUCUCUUAUAAUAACUUAGCCUUCACACUUAGCACACACAUCAACUAUGAUCAUGAUUAACAACCAACAAAAAAAUUAUUCUACAACAACAAAAUAUGGGUUGCCUCUCACUAGAACUUGAUGUAAUGUCAUGAUAUAAGUCGGGUAUGUUGACUACUCAGACGUCGUUAAGAUACAAUAAUGGCAACAUCUUUACUUUUUUAGAUGGGCCAAUAAUUUCUUGAUUCAUUGACCAUUCACUUUAGACAUCUUUCCAUCCUUAUUUUCCAACUGUACUACACCAGAUAGAUACACCCAACCACUUUAAAUGGUAUGGACCAUUUGGAUUUCAACUUUAUGGAAAAUAACUUAAACCCCGAGAUGAACAAUAACACUAAGUCACCCGCUUUGAAAUCUCUCUUGUCAAUCCUCCUGUCAUGGUACAACUUUAUUGUUUCCUUAUAGAGGGCAGCCCUUUCACAAGCACAAAGUUAAAGCUCAUCCAUUUUAUUCAACUGUUACAACCUAAAGUCAGCAACCUCAUUUCAACUCAGAUUAAGCUUUUAGAGUGUACACAAGGCUUUAUGCUCAAGUUCUACCAUCAAAUUACAAGAUUAACGAAAGACUAUUUGGUAAGGAGACAUACCUAUUGGUGUCUUGAAAGUAGUGAAAUAAUCCCUUAGAGCAUCAUCAAGUUUUAGGGACCAAUCACUUUGAUUAGUUUUCACAAUUUUGGCCAAUGUCAUCUUGAUUUAUUGAUUUGAUAUUUUUACUUGUCUACCAGAUUGUGGAUGAUAUGGAGUUUCCACUUUGUAUUGUUUCACUCCAUACCUAGCUAGAUCUACACAAAAAACCUUUUUGCAUAAGUGGGAUCCUCUAUCACUGAUAAUUGUGUGAGGAGUACAACAUUAAAAGAAAAUGUUAAUUUUCAAGAACGUCACCACACUGUUGCCUUUAUUAUCUGCUUCGGCCAUAGAUUCCACCCAUUUGGACACAUUGUCCACUACCACCAGGAUAUACUUCUAACCAUAGGAACUCACAAAUGGACCCAUAAAAUUUUUUUCACACAUGUCAAAUAAUUCCACCUCUAACAUCUCGGACAUGGGAAUUUCCUGAUGUUGCAAGAUUGAUCCCUCUAGCUGGAAUUGAUCAUAAGCUUUGACAAAGUCAUGGGUAUAUUUGUGAAUAGUGCUCUAGUAAUACUCACUCUACAAUAUCUUUCUAGCCAUGGGAUCAUCUGCAUGAUGUCCCCUCUAGGGAUGAGUGACAGGCUUGCAAAAUACUUAGCGUUACAAACUUUGGCAUAUAUCUCCAAAUGAUAUUAUCAACACAUGAUAUAAACAUAUAAGGUUCAUCCCAAAAGUAAUUUCUCACAUCAUGUAUAAAUUUAUUUCUUUGAUGGAAGCUCAAGUCUUUUGGGACCAUGUCACUAACCUAGUAUUUAGCAAAAUCUGCAUAGCAGGGUAUCAGGUAAAGAGAAGUGGAAAGUCUUUGUUCAUUCAUAAAUAAAUAAUCAAUCUAUAAUUUAUUCCCUCAUUCUAAAGUCGAGAUAAAUGAUCUAGUACUUUAUUUUUUGCACCCUUUCCAAUCUUUGACUUCAAAAUCAAAUUCUUAUAGCAGUAAAACCAUUUAAGUAGUUGAGGCUUAGCAUCUUUAUUAGCCACCAAGUUCCAAAAAGCAUCAUGAUCAGUAUGUACUACAACCUUUGUUCCCAACAAAUACACCCAAAAAUUCUCAAAGACUUAGACAAUAACUACUGGAUCCUAUUCAGUAAUUGUAUAAUUCUAUAGCACCCCAUUUAGUGCCUUGCUUGAAUAAUAAACAAGGUGAAAAAUCUUCUCUUUUUUUGCCUACGAACAGAUCCAAGUGCAACCCUAUUUACAUUACACAUCACUUCAAAUAGUUUAGACCAAUCUGAAGCAAUGCUAAAAGGCACAACUAAUAUUAUUUCCUUAAGGCAUUGGAGUUCCUUUAAGCACUCAAUAUUAAAUAUGAACUUAGCUUUUUUUUUUCUAACAGUUUGUACAAUGGAUCGGCAAUAUUGGAGAAUUGUUUAAUAAACAUCAGGUAGAACUCCACAUGAUCGAGAAAACUUCUAACUCUAUUCACCAAGACUAAUGGAGGUAGUUAUUGAAUAAAAUCUAUAUUCACUCUCUCAACUUCAAUUACCUUUUUAGAAAUCUUGGGUCCUAACAUGAUGCCCUCUUUAAUUAUAAAAUGACAUUUUCCCCAAUUGAGCAUAAGAUUGAAUUCCUUACAACUUUGUAAGGCAUUGUUCAAAUUUGUCAAGCAUUUAUCAAAAGAAUCACCUACCAUAGAAAAGUCAUACAUAAACACUUCUAAAGUGUCUUUUCCCAUAUCUGAGAUAAUCCACAUCAUCUUUUGGAAGGUUAACGGAUCAUUACAUAGCCCAAAAUACAUCUGCUUGAAGAAAGAUGUCCUAUAGGGGAAUGUAAAUGUAGUCUUUUCUUGGUCAUUGGGAUUAGUGGAUAUUUGAUUAUGCCCUGAAUAACCAUAUAGGAAAUAUUACCAAACCUUUCCUACCAACUAAUUGAGCAUUUGAUCGAUAAAGGAGAUAGGAAAUGGUCCCAAAGAGUCCAAGAAUGAAGCCUUCUAUAAUCCAUAGAUAUCAUCUAGUCGAUGACAUCUCUAAACAGGAUCAAUUCAUUCUUUUCAUUAACCAAGACAGUCAUACCUCCCAUCUUAGGGACACAUUGAACUGGACUUACCCAUUUAUUAUCUAAUAUUAGGUAAACAACCCCUGCAUCAAGCCACUCAAUUAUCUCUUUCUUUACCACUCUUGUAUUGGUGGGUUAAGUCUGCACUAAUGCUCAAUCAUGGGAAUACAAUAUUAUUCUAACUAAAUUUUAUACACACAAAUGCCAGGGGAAUCCCAGUGAUGUCCGUAAUCAUCCAUCCGAUAGCCUUUUUGUACUUUCAUAGUACAAAAAAGUGCUUCUACUUGUCAUUCUACCAUGUAUUCAAUAAUGAACACUGAUAAAGUGUUUUUUCCCAUGGAGAAAUAUGUAUCUUAAAUCGCCUAUAAAAUCUCUUAACUCUAAUACUACUGGUUCCUUAAUAAAUGAAUUUUCCGGAAGGAGUUGACAUAUUUUUCAAGUCCAGUCUAAAUUCUUUGAGACCUAAGAGUAUGACCUCAUUUCUUCAAAAAGACUAAACAUUUUCUCAUAAUCUUUGAUGUCCUCUUGUAGAAAUUCAUCAUUAUGUAGCUAAGGUUUCAACAAAAAACCUUUCUUCAAUAGGUACCUUCUUAUCAACCUCAUCAACAACAUCGAUAACUGAGAUGACAUUUCUAUUCCUAUGUUGCUUCAUUGACUAGAAAAUGUUGAACUUCACCUUUUUUUCAACCUAAAUUUUAACUCAUUGUACUCUAUGUCAACACAACACUCUUCCAGCAGUUAAGAAAGGUCUACCCAAGAUUAUGGAUACCUUAAAAUCCACCUCACAAUUAAGACUUGGAAAUUUAGUUAGGAAUAUAAAGUUUACAACCUUUGCAUGCAUAUCAUAUAGUACUCCCACUGGCCACUUGACUAAAAAAUCAAAGAUAAAUAACUACAUAGACAUUAGCUUGGGGGGUCCUAAGCCCAACAGCUGAUAGAUGGAUAGAGAUAUCAAAUUAAUGCUUGCUCUAAGAUCAUAAAAUACCUUAGCGAAGUUGAUAGAAUCGACUAAGUGGACACCUAGUUGGGCAAGCUAAUGAACUUCCUGAACUAAUCUCUUCUUCUCAUUCUCCACAUAAGCAACACUACCCAUGGACAUCUAACUGAGAGCAUCAACCAAUACAUUGUCCUUGCCUAAAUAAUACGAAACACUCAUGUCAUAGGCUUUCAACAACUCCAACCACCUUCUUUGACGGAGGUUUAGGUCUUUCUGAGAGAACACUUACUGAAGGCUCUUAUGGUCCGUGAACACAUCAACAUGUACCCCAUAAAAAUAUGCCUCCAAAUCUUUAAGGCAAAUACUACAGCUGUUAACUCAAGAUCAUGAGUAGGGUAGUUCUUCUCAUGAGGCUUAAGAUGUCUAGAGGCAUAGGCUAUGGCCUUACCUCUCUGCAUCAAAACACACCCCAAAACAACUCUGGAAGCAUCACAAUAUAUCACAAACCCAUCUAAACUAUUCGGUAGAGUCAAAAUUGGGGUUGUAGUGAGUUGAGUCUUAAAAUCCUGAAAACUCUUCUCAUAAGAAUCUGACCACUAGAAUUUUACUUUCUUUUGGGUCAAUCUGGAUAUGGGGGAUGCAAUAAAUGAAAAUCCCUCAACAAACCGUCGGUAAUAGUCAGCCAAACCCAAGAAACUCUUGAUAUCUAUCAGAGAAAUAAGCCUGGGCCAGUUUUUACUGCUUUGGUCUUUUGAGGAUCCACUCUAAUGCCAUCACCAAAAACUAUAUGACAAAUGAAUGCUACUGACCUUAGACAAAAUUCACACUUAAUGAGUUUGGCGAACAACUGAUGGUUUUUUAGAGUCUGUAAUACUAUUCUAAGAUGGUCUGCAUGAUUAUACUCACUACGGAAGCAGACAAAAGUGUUAUCUAUGAAGACUAUGAUGAACAAGUCUAAGUACUACUUGAACACACGGUUCAUCAAGUUUAUGAAAGUGGCUGGGGCUUUGGUAAGACCAAACAACAUGACUAAGAAUUUGAAGUGACCAUAUCGAGUUCUGAAGGCUGUCUUUAGAAUGUCAAAUUCUCUGACUCUGAGCUGAUUAUAGCCUGAUAUAAUGUCUAUCUUAGAAAAGUAACUGGCACCCUAAAGUUGGUCAAACAAGCCAUUAAUUCUGGAAAGUGGAUACUUGUUCUUGAUUAUGACCUUAUGUAGCUAGUGAUAGUCUAUACAUAUUCUAAGAGAACUAUUUUUCUUACGCACGAAUAGAACUGGUGCACCCCAAGAGGAUACACUGGCUCUGAUGAAUCCCUUAUCUAGGAGAUACUUACACUGCUCUUUUAACUCCUUGAGUUCUGCUAGAGCCAUUCUGUAUGGUGGAUGAGCUAUGGGCUGAGUAUCUAGAAGAAGGUUUAUUCAAAGUCAAUUUCCUUCUUGGGAUGAACUCUGAGAAGAUCUUCGGGAAACACAUCUGGGAAUUCACAUGCAACUAGAACUAACUAAAGCUGGGUGUAUCGGAACUAGAAUCCUUAACUCAAACGAGAUGAUAGAUACAUCCCUUAGAUAUCAUUUUUCACACCCUUAGGUUAGAAAUAAGCUAACCCCUGAGUGCUGAGCUACUACACCUCCAUUCUAGGAUAGGUUUAUUCCAAAACUAAAAUUAGAUAAUUCUAUUUCUACAGUCAACUGAAGCAUAGCAUGAAUAAAGCCAAUCCAUGCCGAUAAUGAUAUCAAAAUCUAUCAUCUCUAAUUUAACUAAGUCCACUGAAGUGACAUUCUAAGAUACUAUAACCGAACAGUUCCUGUAUACCCAUCGAGCUAUGAUAGAUUUAUCUACUGGAGUAGAGACUGAGAAAGCCUCUGCUAGAAUUUUGGGACUGGCUCCAAAGUCAACAACUAUAUAAGGAGUUACAAAAGACAAAAAAGCUCCUGGAUCUAGCAAAGCAUAAAUAUGAAAAUGAUAAACUUAUAAUGUACCAGUGACCACAUUAGGAGAACUCUCCUGAUCCUGUUGGGACUAAAGUGCAUAGAGUCUAUUUGGACGUUCCCACUGGUAGCACUGGAAGAAGCACCCUGCUGAUUCGGGCUACUGGACUGAGCCGGGGGAUGAUUAUGCUAACUCCAUAAACACACCUGAGGUCAUUAUCUGACCUUGUGGCCUGGAUUGCCUUAUUCAAAACAUAUAUCUCUGCUAGCUCUACGGAUACCCUGAUAGUUUCUACCACACUUCUAGCAGAGAGGAUUCAUUCGGGCACUAUUAACACUACCUUGGGGAUUAGCGCCUAAUGCUCUAUCUCUAUUGUCGUCUCUGAAUUUUGACAUUGGAGCACUGUCUAAGGAUGGAGCUGGGACUGAAGACUUCUGGCGGAACUGAGGACGAUUACCAUCCUUUGACUUAGGUUGGGUGAAGUUGAAGCUACCUGUUCUAGCUCUCUUAUUUUCCCUUUACUUCUCCUUAUUCUUAGCCUCCUCUAUCUGCUGAGCAUGGACCAUGAGCCUGGAUAUGUCUAUCUCCUUAAUCAGUAUUACGGUCCUACACUCCUUUACCACACUAUUAGACACGCCAGACACAAACUUACUCAUCUUAGAUUUGUUAUCUGCUACUACAUGAGGGGCAUAUCUAGCUAAGUAACCUUGAAAGAAUACUCUUGUACUAUCAUGUUUUCCUGCUUUAGAUUAAUAAACUCUAAAACCUUCACUUCUCUCAACUCUAGUGGGAAGAUCCUAACCAGAAAAGCAAUAGCAAACUUCUCCCAUUCUAUGGGCCCUGUAUCUGUGGCCCUCUUUGCUUUCCACUGUUUGAACCAUGAGUGAGCCAUAUCUUGUAAUAGAUAUGCGACCAACGCAGAUCAAGAAAUUCCUGUGGGUCCUUAUCUAACUUUGACUUAGUAAAAGAGGGAGGGUUUAUUCGGCUGAAGUCUCGAAUCCCAGCUGCAGCAGUAUUAGCCAUUAGGUUGGCCAAAAUGAUAAUUGGACAUUUAUUCUGGGCUGCCACAAAAUGAGCUAGGGUGGUAAAAGUUGCUCUGAAUUCCACGUGGGAGACAUGCUCAUCUAGAGGAUCUGGCUGGAUGAGAUAAGGUGCUAGCUAGUCUCUUAUUCCUCUUCCCUUAGUCUUUUUUAGAGGCAUGUUUAAUAAACAGAAUGGAAAAGGAUUAGACUAAGAGUUUAAUUGGAGCUCAUGCUCACUCGAACCACAUGAAUACUAAAAGAAGGGAAAAUUUUCCUAAGACAUCUAAUAGCCUCCUGUCCAUAAGUGUGGCACGCUAUACACCCAUGCACAAGACUUGACUAGAUAUGACUUUCAGACUUCCUAGGACUCUAUUAAACCUUAGUCUUUGAUACUAAGUUUGUAGUGCCCCGAGUCUGUACUCCAGAUGCUACAUGGUGCUAGCGACCCCGAAGGACCACCAGUUAACCCAUGAACAGUAUCUACUGUGAGCACUGAAUAAUAAUAACACUGUAAAAUUAAUAUAAUUGAAAUAUGUGCGAAAGUUAGGCUAAAAAAGCCUUAAAGACCAAUACCGAAUACUGAAAGCUGAAUAUUGAAAAACUAAAAAAUCCAUCUAAAAUACUCUAUUCUGAAAGCCUCUAAUUGUCUGAAGUAUAGAGCUGAUGGGACAAGCCCCCAACUAACUCGACUACUAAAAACUGUACUAAAAUACUAAAAUAACAUUCUAUCCUUAAACUAUGAGAACUCACCACUAAGUCUAUUUCUAAUAGGCUGCACUGCUAAGUACAGUCAGGAGCCCGUGCAUCUGAACCUAUGAUAUAAUACAUCAUAGCACAAAAGAAAGGUAUGCGUUAGUACUUUGAAUGUACUAGUAUAUUAAGUAAGGUAGACUGAUAUGCAUGGGUUCAUAUGUAUGAACAAUAACUGACUGAGUAACAGGAACAUCACUGAAUUAGAGAACAUGCAUGGAUACAUAAAUUGUAACUGAGAUCAUGUUAACAUUGGUUACUGGGUUCUGAAUACUGAUUAACUGAUAUCUGAGUUUACUGAUACUGUAAUACUGAUAAUUGAGUGACUGUUUCUGACAAUCCUGAUUAAUAAUUGGGUGACUAUUUCUAAUAGUCCUAAUUCUGUAGAACUAAACUGAGUUCUAUACUAAGUUGGGUGAAUGUAUCUGGCAGCCCUGAUUCUGUAUAACUGAACUGAGUUCUAUUCUGAGAUUAAAACUAAAACUAAAACUAAAACUGAAACUAUUAGAGCUAAUCAUCUAACUGACAUUCCUCUCCCUGAAUGGAUUAGGGUCCAACUUAAAGCCCCAGUUGCAAGGGUGUCAGUACCAUGCCACAGGUAAAGACAAGCUGUGAGUUAACCCUCUCUAACAAGAAGCUCUUUCAUCAACCCUCACUGGCAGGAAAAUUCAUACGAGAUGUAUCAACCCUAAUCUGGCAGGGAGAUAUCUCAACCUACGCUGGCUAUAUUGUUCUGUAACGCAGGGAUUGCUACUAAGGAUCAAACUCUAUGAUGGCCAAAAUGCCCCUAUUCCUGGGUUCGGUCGUACUGAAUCCUACUUCCAACCAACUUCUACCUCCCUUCAUCACAUAAACCCUAAUGCAAUCUACCACAAAACCUGUAGGGAAGAUAUGAUGGAGCUGACUAGGCCCCACUAUCCUGAGAUUGGGCACCCUAUGCUCUAAAGUCGACACCAUCUUGGAAAUGCCUAUCUCCCAACGUCUUUAGGUAGGGAGCACUAGACGUUAAGUAAGACCAAGAAUUGACCCACUUCUUCUUGGGACACUUCCCACCAUCCCUGUUACUCUACUAUUGUCCAUUACCCUACUCGGAGAACCUAAAUUUCUUGCCCUGCCUCUCCCUUAUAUCCUCCUGCUUCUUCUUAUCUUCCUCUACCUUUCACAUGUACACUACCAACAUAGAGAUAUCCAUGUGCUUGAUCAACAAGGUAGCCUUAAUCUCUAAUAUCAAAUCUCUGGACAACCCAGAAGCAAACUUUCUCAUUCUAUCACUCAUGCUAGAAAUCAUCUCUGAAGCAUACCAAGAUAACUAGUGAAACUUUAAGGCAUACUCCUUGACUGACAUUUGUCCUUUCUUUAGAUGGACGAAGUCUUCUACCUUUUAUUCCCUCAACUCUUGAGGAAAGAAGUGGUCUAGGAAAGCAUUAAAGAAAUCACCCCAAAAAUCUAACUCGACAUCUUUACCCUUAGUCUGUUACGAUUCCUUAUACCAUUGGUAUGCUACAUCUUUCAGUUGAUAGGAAACAAAUUCCAUAUUAGUAGCAUAUAUAACAUGAAAUAUCUUUUCCAUAUAAUCCACAAAAGCUUAAGGAUACUUCCAAACCUUACACACCAAUGAACACAAGAGGGUUCAACCUUAUGAACUGGGCAACCCUUCUGGCCUUAGAAGAUGGAGUAACAGAAACACCAUACUCAGCCUGAAAAGCUACCAAAAAACCAACAUAAGGAUAGACUGACACUCAGCAUUCAUUAUAUCAGCCUAAUAAGCUCGAGGAGGACUAGAGAGAAUCGGUGGAACUCCAGGAGGACAAUCAUGAACUGUACCCCUAGAUCGAGUCUGGACCCCAUAAGUAGAAUGGUCCCAUCAAUAUUGUCCUCGGGUAGGAUAAAGGAGUUUCCAUGAGCUUCAUAUCAUUGAGGAUGCAUGAUCUAAAAAGCGAACUAACAAGAAUUAGAGGAGAAUUCAGGACCUUAUACUCUACAGCUCAAAAAUAGAACACAAGAAAGAGAAACAUUCCUAAAUGGCUUGUAGCCUCUACUUUAGGAGUGUGGUAUGCUACACAGUUUUAAAAGAGACCCUAUUCGACACGGCUUUAUGGACUAUUAAGUGACCAUGAGCCCAGGGUUCUGAUACCAAUCUGACAUAACCUAAACUAGCGCCUAGUCAUGUUGGGUUCCUCAAGCCUAACCGGUAUUAGAGACCACCCAAGUACCCAACCAUAAUUGCCCUACACCUUAUGUUGGAUGAAUUUUGAACAUACAACAAGAUAGAUCAAUAAUAAAUCAAAGACAUUAAUUAACUCCUAUAACGAUAAUCCAACAACCUUAAUCAAAUAUCCAACUAGUGUCAUCUCCAAUAGCAAUACCAACCUAAGGCUAACACCAAUACCAAUACCACCCAUGCCUAUAAUAGUCACAUAAAGCCUCUAACUGAAAUCCAAGAACAUUCGAUUGGGAUAUGCCCCCGACCAUAGAUAAAACCAAAGUCCAAGAAAUAAACAAAAGGAUGAAAAGAAAUACAUAGUAUGAAAUGUAGUCUAUCAGAGUAUGGAAGAUCACUACUUUAGUCUAACACAAAGCUGUUCUCGAAUCUAAGUCACUGAGAGGGGGAGUAGUAUGGAUGGUUCCUACAUCGCGUGGGGAUACAAUACCUGAAGAUAGGUUAAUGGGUAGAGUUAGGAUAAAAUAAUGCCAUUAUUCAAAACUAAUGUAAAUAACUAAAUGCAAGAACAUUCAUACAUAUAUUUAUAUUUAUUAUGCUAAGAAAGGGAACCAGGUUUAGGAUGCAUAUAAAACCUUUAACUUGGGUUGUAUAGGUUGACCAUCCUAAAACCACCCAUGGGCUAUAUGGGUCUAGUUUUACCCCCUAGACAUACCCCAGUGUGCGUAGCCGCAUGAACUAGAGAUAUCAUAGGGGACGACAAAUGACAUGUACACUUCUCCCUCCAUGAUACCUAUAUACAAGUAUAAAUUUAAGGGAUUCCUCUAUACCCCACAAGUAUAUGGUCACUAUAGCCAACCCUUAUAUCGGCAAACAUAGGUUUCCAGUGUUCGUCCAGCGAAUUCACACCUUUACGAUUAGCUAUCACAACCCGCCAUUAUUACCAAUUAAUAUUUAGCACAUAGUCAAACCACCAAUUCUAGAAGUCAAGUGUCAAGGCAUUGUGAAGUGGUAUCGUCAUACCAAUUAUAGCUUGCAAGCAAUGUCACUAGCCAACACUUAGGGGUUUCCCAUGUACCCCAUAAGAUUUCUAAUUAAACUAAAACCAUGACCACCAAGGCCUUUCCACCAUUUAAUACCAACCAAACCAAUUUAAUUUCCAUUACCAUAUUAUGCAAUUCAAAGUUUUCAAUAAUAGUCCAACUAUGUAAUAAAAUCUCUCAUAGGCAUUUUGACAAACAUGUUGACGGCAUAAGAUUUUCAAAACCAAAACCAUGUUUCAAUUGAUCAUUCCCAUGAAACCACAUGUUCAAACUACAAUUAUAACAUGAAAACCAUAAGAAAGCAUGGGAAAACAUCAUCCAACCAAAAACAACCCAAAACCCCUAACAUAUUUUCAAAACCUAAAAUAAUAUCAUAAUAAUACUAUGAAAACCAUCCAUUAAAACAUGAUUUUUGUUUAGCCUAUAAUGAGGGAGGAGUGACAUGCCUUAGACACCAAGGAAGAUGAAGAGAUUCACUCUUAAAAGUCCCUAAUUGAUUGCCUUGUAGAAACCCUAGCCUUUUCUUGAACCAAGAGCUUGAGAGAGAUCUGAGAGUGCUUAGAGAGUGUUUAAUUGAGAAUAAUAGAUUAAGAAACCCUCCAAAGGUGUUUUAUAUUGAGGGGUCACAAGGAGUUAAGAGGGGGGAUGUCCAGAAUACCCCUAACUUAAACUUUAAAAUUUUUUGUAGGUGGAUACGAUUUGAAUCCCUUACUUGUACCCACAUUAUACGAGUGAUACCUUCCACUCGUAACUUGAUAAAAAUUUAGACAUCAUAUUCUAUCCAACAUACGACUCCUUAUCCUAACUCGAACCCUGACCAUAUGACUAGUAUCCUUAAGUCAAACCCUAAGCAGAAAUAUCUAGGCUAGACACUAGACAAUAUAUGAUUUGGACCCUACCUCUCGUAUUAUAUACAUACGACUCAUAUGAAGUCUCCUCAUACCAAGAAUAGAACUUGAUCGACAUAAUACUGACCAACAUAUGUCUAGGGUCCUUAGACCCGUAACCUCACCAUAUAACUAUUACGGUGAGUCAUAUUAUCAAUAGAAGGCUCAAACUUACAAAAAUUUUCAAGGUCCAGAACCCAGGUUGUUUCAAGUAUCACCAUUGUUUUUGUUUUUAUUUUGGGUCAUAGGUUGAUGGAAAGUCUGAGUACCAGUGACCCAAACUAAGGAGUAUGGCAAAGACUGAGUAUGGUGUCCUCCUUACCUCUUUAAUGAUCAAGAUGCUACUUGGUAGGCCUAGAGGCCUCAUGGUGUAUUUAUAUCCUUACUUUUAAUUUAUACUUUGGGGAAAAAGUGUAAUUUUAAGUGUGGGGUGGGUAAUCUUCUGAUUGUUUAGGAUAAAGUGCUGCUUUAGGAUUUCCAUUUUAAGUAUUUUUUAGUUUUUGACUAAACUUAAACAAAGUUACAAAAAGAUUUGAUCUAUGUUUAUUUUUAGAUUUUGUUGAUGUUAGUCUAGUGGAAGCACACUUUACCUACCUCAUGGUUUUUCUUAUUGGUUCUUUCCAAGGGGCGCCCUUUGAACUCAGUAACUUAUUUUUACUUUUAAGAGUAAUUUAAAAUUUUGGUCAUUAGGAAUAAAUAAGAUGUUCUUGCUAAGGGAUAUAUAUGAUUACAUGAUUGUAAGCUAGUUUUGAAUGUAAAUCUAUGUACAAUGAGUUGAAUGACUAUUUUUGAGACACCUAGGCUCAUUUAUCUAACUCUUGUGCGAUGUUGGCUUAAUUUUGAAUUCUUGAUAUUGCUUGGUCGAGAUUCUAUAGAGAUCCUUCUUGAUUUAAGCAUGUGUCAUAUUUGAGUGAGGUCUUUUGUUACAUUCCUUGUUGAAUAUUGAUUUCUUAACUUGUCAGGUGUGUAUGCAAAGUGAAAUAAAGAAUAUUAGAUUUAGGAGAAGAUAUAGACAUUUCUUUGAUAGUCAUGUCUUAUACCCUCUUUAUCUACCCUUAUUGCAUUGCACUAGUUAGCCCUAUUAAGCCUUUAUCCUACUCAUUGGUAGCCUUAUAUGCAGCUUAUUCUCUUUUUUUUGAUUGACCAUAAUUUGAUCCAAAGGUUUUAAGAACUUUAGUUGAAAGAUUAAGAUGUUAAGGAGCGUAAAAUUGAAGAAGGAAAAGAGUGAAAGCAAAGCCAAAAAAUAGAAUCUAUUGGUGUGAUAGAAAUAUUUAUGUUUUAAUGGUGCGGAGCAGUGUAAUGGAAAUACCAAUUUAUCAAAAAAUGAAUUAUGUGUUAUUAUUAAAUACUCCUCACUUAAGAUAUGUGAACUAGCUUAAAGAGAUGAGGCAAAACAAAAGUGAAGUGGGAAUAUAAAUGAAACACCCUAAUUUCUAGACCUUAGAAAAUUUCUAGGAAUUUUGAUCUCUGGACCCAAUACGACUCAUGGGUAUGAUCCGUGUUUUGGGGUACGGAUUGUAUGGUCUAGUUGUAUACAGACCAGUAUUGGUUGGUGGGAUGGAUUUUGGUUACUGAAAUGGAUACGACUUAGGGGUACGAGUAGUAUUAGUAGGUAUGGAUCGUUUGGUUCCUUAAAUUAAUCUUAGACUUGGAUACUUAGGUUGGAUAUGAGUACGAAUGGCUCACUAUAAUCUAUAAUCUAGGGUACAAGUCAUACCAAGGACUCGUGUGGUGGACAGUGUCUAAAUCUUUCUUAGGUUUAAAUCUGCCAAGGGUACGGAUGAAUGGUAUAGAUCAUAUGCUUUGGAUACGACUUGAUUGGAUGAGUUGUAUAUUGGAUAGUGUUGGGAGCAAGGGUUGAGGCUCAGGAUACGAGUGGAGGGUACCACUCGUAUAAGAGGGUAUGACUCAAGAGGGUCAGUCGUACCCCUAUGAUGGGAUUUUGUGAAAUUUAAGUGGGGGUAUUCUGGAUAUUUCCCCACUUAUUUUAAUAAGGUCCCACAACUUUUAACCUACUUAGGAGGACAUUUAACCUAUUAUUCUAUUCAUUAUACCUUAGAAACUCUUCUAAACACUUUAUACUUCUCUCAAAUUCUUUUAGGUAAGGGAAACUAGGGUUUCAACUAGAGGAUUGAUUUGGGGCUUGUCUUGGUGAUUUAUUUUCAUCAUCAUCAUGGUUUAAGGUAUGUUAUCUUUCUUCAUUGUUAAUUCUAAAUAGAAGCAUAGUUUUUAUGAAUGUUUGCAUGACUUCAUUGAUUGUAUGAUUUUUGUUUUCAAAUAUGAUUUGGGGGUUUUGAUAUUAAAUAAUUGAUUAUGGUUUUCUAUGGUUUUAAUUAUGUUUUAUGUAUAUUAAUGGUGAUUUUGGAUAAUUAGAUUGCAUGGGAAUGGGUUAUUGGUAAUUGAAAUUGGUUUUGGUUAUAUUAUACCCCCAAUAUGUUUGACAAAAUGCCUACAAUAAUGUUUUCAUUGCAUUGAGUAUUUUAAUGGAACUAUUGCAUAGUUUAAAACUUGGUAAAGGAAAUAUGGAUGGUUUAAAUAGCUUGGAAAGGUAAAUUGCUAAAUUGUUAUGCUUUUGAGGUACAUGGAAUCCCCUAAGUGGUUUAAUGUGAUGAUUGGAUAGGGCACUUGAAUGUCCCCUUAAAGAUAUAAAUGGUUAGCUAUGGAUGAUAUUUGCAAGUAAAUAUUGGUAUGAUGAUACCAAUAUUAAUGGCAUUGGUUAAUAACUGGUUAAUUGGAAAAUGGUUUUAAUUGGGCAUUAGUAGCACGAUGUGUAGCAAAGCCAUGGAAGGUGGAGGUCCCACGGGGAGAAAAACUGGAGACUUAUAUUUGCCAAUAUAAAAUUGGUCUUGGUGGCUAUAUACAUGAUGUCACACUAUAUUUUGGAGGAUGUACUAGUUCUCCCAGGUUUUAUUCCCUGGUGAUGCAGCUUCACACACUGGGGCCCUUUUGCCAGGGAAAGAUGAAUCCAUAUAGCCCAUGGAUAGUUUAGGACAACAAAGCUACAUAACCCAGGUAAAGGUUUUAAAGGCAUGCUAAACCUGAUUUCCUUUCCCCACAUGGUUUUAUAUAUAUACAUAUGGUCGUGUGCAUAUAGAUGGUUUUACUCAGUUUUAUAAAUGGCAUUAUUUUAUCCUUAUACUGAGAUCAGGCUAGCUUUCACCCGCUAACCCGUAUACUACCCAAGUGCAUAAACAGACCGUUCUACUUUUCCUACAUAGUGAUUGAAUUAUGAAUCAACAUUUGGGCUGAAGUGGCGAGCUUUCAUCCUUUUGAAAGGCUCUAUUUCAUGUUACAAAUAUUUUUUAGACUCUUUAAUUUUAUUUUGGAUAUUGGUUUUGGCCAUGGUUGGGGGCAUGUCCCAAUCGAAUUUUAUUACUCUUUUGGAUAAAAGCUAUAUGGUACUACUAUAGGUUGGAAUAGGUGGGAUCAAUAUUAGUGUCAGCCUUGGCAUUGGAAUAACUGGAGGACUGACAUCAUCAAAUAUAAUUUCUCACUAUUCCAUCAUAUUUUACUUUAGGAUUAAUUAUAUUAUAUUUUGGAACAUUCUUGGUUAUGGCCUGGUUUAUGGAACUUAGUUAGGUAGAGUUUUAGUAUGGUUAGAUUGUUGGUGCAGGAAGGUUGGACUCGGUUGGGUCGGUCACGAUUGUGACCUUAUCCCAUCGUCUUCAUGUGAGCUAUUUUACUAUCUUGCUACAUGCUCGAAAUUCAGCCAACUCCAGGUAGGCGGUUUAAGGUUGGGUUGGGUAAUAGGGGUGGUAUCCGGUAGCGAUCGUACUUAGGUUUCCCAUUACAACAAGGCCCCUGGUCGGGUCACAUCAAGUUGGUAUCAGAUCCUAGGUUCAUGGUCAAUUGGGAGUCCAUAAAGUCAUGUCUAGUAGAGUCUUAUUUAGGGGUGUGUAGCGUUCCACACUCAUAAGGUAGAGGCUACAUGGAAUUUAGGAAUGCCUCACUUUCUUGGUAUUCUAUUCUCAAGCUUGGAGUCUCAGUCUUGGAAUCUUCUCUAAUCCUUAUUUGUUCAUCUUUCAGAUCAUGCCUCAUAAAUCUGAAACAUAAGAAAAUUCUUCUAUCCCAUCUAGGGGUAAUGCUGAAUGGGUGCAUCCUACUUUUGCGGUUCAUCUUCGAUCUCAUGGUCCUAUCCCUCAUAGUUUGUGAGUUCCACUGAUUGCUACUAGUCCUCCUUAAGGCGAUGUGACUUAUGCAAAAUCUUGUCAGUCUAUUCAUAUAAUUGCUCAGAUUGUUGCUGCUCAAGAUGAGUGGGGUAUGACUAGUACUUUGUCUGCUGAGGCCAUAAGGGUUGCCCAAUUUAUAAAGAUGGGUCCUUUCACUUUUUCUGGAGUGAAGGUGGAAGAGAAUCCAUAAGGCUUCUUAGACGAAAUGGAAAAGAUAUUUGGGGUGAUUGUAGGCUACCAAUAUGAAGGGGGUAAACUUUGUAUCUUAUCAUCUCAAAGGGGUUGUAUAUCAGUGGUAUAAAGAGUGGGACAGAGAUAAGGGUAGUAUAGAAGAAUCAGUCUUACGAGAUAUUUUUUCCAAGACCUUAUUAGAUCGUUUCUUUCCCCAAGAGUUAAGGGAAUCAAAGAUAGAAAAGUUUAUAAACCUCAGGCAAGGGAGAAUAUCUGUCAAGGAAUAUUCCUUAAAGUUUCACCAAUUGUCAAGGUAUGCUCUUGAUUUAGUUGCUAACAUACGGCGGGAAAGAAUGGGGAAGUUUACUUCUGGGUUGAAUUAGGAUUUGAUUUUGGAGAGAAAGACUACUUUGCAAAUUAAAGUUAUGGACAUCUUUAGGUUGACUGGUCAUAUGGAGCAAGUAGAGGAUAAAAAAGGAAGCAGGUGGAGUUUAGGGAUAGACAGGGUAAGAGGAACAUGUUUUCUGACUAGGGAGAUGCUCAGUCUCAGGGUUGUCGGGAUGGUGGCAAAUGGCCGAAAAAAAGAUAAGGGAUUUCUAGUUCCUACUCUUCUACUAAUGAUCCUUACCAGGUGAGCGACAAGUGUCAUCAAGAUGGUGAUAAUUUUUGGGCAUAGGGUUCCCUAUAUCAGGUAAGUGGAGAUUAGUCAGUUUCUUCAUAUCCUUCUUGUCGGUUCUAUGGUUAUCCUUAUCGGGGUUAUUACAAUAAAGGUAGGGAGAAAUGCUUCAGGUGUGUCUAUCCUGGCCAUCGUCUCAGAGAUUGUCCAGUUAAUAAAGUAGCUAUAGGGGUAAAUAAGAUUUCUGUGGCUUCAUAUUCUGCUCUUAUACCUGGUGGUAUGGCAUCUACUCAUGUUACUGCUCCUGGUUCUAGUAUUGGUCGAAACAAGUUGUAUGCUUUGGCAUCCUGACAGAAAUCUAAGGCAUCACCUGAUGUCGUUACUGGUAUACUACAACUUUUCUCUUGUUACAUAUAUUGUUUGCUUGAUCUAGGGUCAACACUCUCCUAUAUGACAUCUUAUGUGGCUUUAUUUUUUGGUUUCAAUCCAUCCUUUUUUUAUUUCCACCCCAAUAGGUAACUCGAUUACUUCUAAGAGAGUCUAUAGAGGUUAUAUGGUGUCUAUUGGUGGCAAGAAAACCUUGAUGGAUCUAUUUAAGUUGGGUAUGGUGGAUUUCAAUGUCAUUCUGGGUAUGGAUUGGUUUUACUCUUAUUACUUAUCCUUGUAUUGUCGGACUCAUAGGGUUCUCUUUAGGUUCCCCGAAGAGCCAGUUAUAGAAUGGGAGGGUAGUUAUUUAGCUCCUAGGGGGAUAUUUAUUUCUUAUCUUAGAACUAGGAGGUUAAUCUCUAAAGGUUGUCUUUAUCACUUGGUUCAAGUUAAAGAUUCUAAUUUGGAAGGUUCUUCUUUCCAGUCAGUUCCAGUGGUUAAUGAGUUUUCAAAGGGCUUUUUGGAUGAACUUCUUGGUGUUCCUCCAGAAUGGGAAAUAGAGUUUGGUAUUGAUCUUGUUUUGGACACUCAUCUAAUUUCUAUUCCUCCAUAUAGAAUGGCUCUGAUUGAGUUGAGGGAACUUAAGGAGCAACUUAAGAAUCUUCUAGAUAAGGGGUUUAUUCAACCUAGUGUAUCUCCUUGGGGUGCACCGGUGUUGUUUGUGCGCAAAAAGGAUGGUUCCCUUUGGAUGUGCAUUGAUUAUGGGUAGUUGAACAAGGUGGAGGUCAAGAACAAGUAUCCUCUUCUAAGGAUAGAUAACCUAUUUGAUCAGUUACAAGGUGCCAAGUUCUUUUCUAAGAUAGAUCUUUGGUCUGGGUACCAUUAAUUAAAGAUUAGGGAGGUGGAUAUCCCUAAGAUGGAUUUUCAUACUCAGUAUGGUCACUUUGAAUUUUUGGUGAUAUCAUUUGGAUUAACUAAUGCUUCGGUGACAUUUAUGGAUCUAAUGAACAAGCUUUUUCUUCAGUUUUUAGAUCUUUUCAUUAUUGUGUUUAUUGAUAACAUUCUGGUUUAUUCAAAGAGUAAGAUGGAUUAUUCUAAUCACCUCUAUGUGGUGUUGUUGACCUUAAAGGAACAACAGUUGUAUGCCAAGUUCUCCAAGUGUGAUGUUUGGUUAAACACUGUAAUUUUAUCAGGUUAUAUUAUUUCUAGUGAGGGGAUCAUGGUGGAUCUGUAAAAGGUUAUUGUGAUGAAGAGGUGGCCAAGACCCAUGACUCCAUCCGAUAUUUGAAGCUUCUUGGGUUUAGCCGAGUAUUAUAGGUGGUUUGUGGAAAGGUUUUCAUCGAUAGUUGCUUCUUUGACUAAGUUAACUCAUAAGAAUGUCAAGUUUUCUUGGUUAGAUACUUGUGAAGGGAGUUUCAAUAAGUUAAAGGAUAAGUUGACUUCAGCUUUAAUUUUGACUUUGUUGGAAGACAAUGAUGAUUUUAUAGUUUAUUGUGAUGCAUCUUGAGUGAGGCUUAGUUAUGUGUUGAUGCUGCAUGGGAAGGUGAUUACCUAUGCUUCUAGGCAGUUGAAGGUACACAAGAGAAACUAUACUACUAAUGAUUUAAAGCUAUUGGCGGUUGUGUUUUCUUUAAAACUAUGGUGGCAUUAUUUGUAUGGUGUGCACGUGGAUAUCUUUUCUGAUUAUAAGAGUCUACAGUAUGUGUUCACUCAUAAAGAUCUUAAUAUCAGGCAGAAAAGAUGGCUUGAGCUUCUCAAGAACUAUGAUAUGAGUCUUCACUACCACCCAGGUAAGGCUAACAUAGUUGCUGAUGCUCUUAGCUGGUUAUCCAUGGGGAGUUUGACUCAUGUAGAUAAAAGAAAGUGGGAAUUAGUAAAGUCUAUUCACCGCUUGGCUAAUCUUGGAGUUUUUCUCUUAGACUCCAAGGAUGGUGGUGUGAUGGUGCAAAAAGUGGUUCGAUCAUCUCUUGGUAAUGAGAUUAAGGAGAAGAAAGUGCUAGAUCCUAUCUUGAUGAAAAUCAAGGGUGACAUUAGUGGGCAAAAGGUAGUGGUGUUUGAGAUUGAUGGUGAUGGUACUUUAUGGUACCAAGGGAGGUUAUGGGUUAUUGAUGUUGACGGAUUGCAACAAAGGAUUUUGGCUGAGGUACAUGAAUCGCUCUAUGUUGUUCAUCCUAGCUCGACUAAGAUGUAUCAUGAUAUCAAAGAGAUCUAUUGGUUGAAUGGUAUGAAGAAAGAUGUGGUUAAUUUUGUGGCUAAGUGCAUGGUGUGUCAACAGGUUAAGGUUGAGCACAUGAGGCCAGGAGGGUUGUAUUAAGAAAUUUAUUUUCUCAAGUGGAAAUGGGAAGUGAUAACAUAGACUUCGUUACCCAUCUUUCUUGGUCUCAAAAUCAAUAUGAUUCAAUUUGUGUCAUCGUGGAUAUAAUAACCAAGUCUGCUCACUUUUUGCCAGUGCAGACUACCUUCUCGGUGGAGGAUUAUGCAAAGUUGUAUCUUCAGGAGAUUGUGAAGAUGCAUGUGGUGCCUAUUUCAAUUAUUUAUGAUCGUGGAAUGCAAUUUACAUUUCACUUCUAGCGAUCUUUUCAAAAAGGGUUGGGGACUAAGGCUAGUUUGAGUACUGCUUUCCACUCGCAGAUGGAUGGGCAAGCGGAAAGAACUAUUCAGACAUUGGGGGAUGUCCUUUGGGCUUGUGUGAUUGAUUAUUGAAGCAAUUGGGUUGAGUAUCUGCCUUUGGUGGAUUUUGCUUACAAUAAUAACUAUUAUUCUAGUAUUGGGUUGGCCCCUUUUGAGGCAUUGUAUGGUAGGAGGUGUAGAUCACCUAGUGGUUGGUUUGAGCUUGGUGAGAAUAAUAUGUUUGGUCUCGACUUUAUUUACCAGGCUAUGAGAAGGUGAAGUUGAUUCGGGAGAGGCUUAAGGAUGCCCAAAGUCACCAAAAGUCCUAUACAGAUGUUAGGCGUAGAGACUUGGAGUUUGAGGUUGGAGACAAGGCUUUUCUCAAGGUAUCUCCUAUGAAGGGAGUGGUGUGGUUUGGUAAGAAGGAGAAGCUCAAUCCCCGGUAUGUUGGACCUUAUGAGGUUUUACGGAGAGUUGGUAAUGUUGCUUAUGAGCUGGAGUUUCCUUCUAGCUUAAGCUUGGUUCAUCCGAUCUUUUCUGUUUCCAUGUUGAGGAAGUGAGUUGAUGAUCCUUCUUUGGUGGUUCCUUUGGAAGGAUUGGGUAUCAUUGAUUCUUUGUCUUAUGAAGAAAUCCCGGUUGAGAUCUUAGAUAGGCAAGUUUGUUGGCUGUAGACCAAGGAUGUAGCUUUGGUUAAGGUUCUUUGGUAGAACCAUACGGUAGAAGUUAAAUGAAAAGCGGAAGAGGACAUAAAGUCUAAAUAUCCGCAUUUGUUUUCUUCUCCUAGGAUUUGUGCGGAAGGUAUGUGUCUUCAACACAUCUUUAUUUUCUGAGUUUCUUAAAGGAAAGAUUAAUAUCUUUGCCUUUUGUUUUCAAACUUUGUUAAAGAUUGGGAAUAUAUUUGAUAAUGCAAAUGACUCGUGCGUGUGGUUAUCCCUACCUUGUCCGUCAUUCGGGGAUGAAUGUUCCUAGUGGGGAAGACUGAAACACCCUAGUUUUUGGACCUUAGAAAAUUUUCUGGAAUUCUAAUCUCUAGACCCAAUAUGACUCAUGGGUACGAGCCGUAUGUUGGGGUCCUGAUGAUAUGGUGCAGCCGUAUGCUAACUAGUGUUGGUUGGUGGGAUGGAUUUUGGUUACUAGAUGGAUAUAACUUAGUGGUAUGACUUGUAUUAGUGGGACGGAUCAUUUGGUUACUUAAAUUAAUCUUAUUCUUUGAUACUUAACUUGGAUCUGAGUACGACUGGCUGACCAUGAGCUGUAAGCCAGGGUAUGAGUCGUACCAAGGACGAGUAUAGUGGACAGUGCCUAAAUCUACCUUGGGCUUAAAUCUGCCAGGGGUACAAAUGAAGGGUACGGAUCAUAUACUUUGGAUACGACUUUGUUGGAUGAAUCAUAUGUUGGAAAGUGUUGGAUCCAAAGGUUGAGGCUCAAGAUAUGAGUAGAGGGUACCACUUGUAUAGGAGGGUAUGACUCGUGAGGGUCAUUCGUACCCCUAUGACAGGAUUUUGUGCAACUUAAGUGGGGGUAUUCUGGAUAUUUCCCCACUUAUCCUAAUAAGGUCCCAUUUCUUCUAAUCUACUUGGGAUGAUAUUUACCCUAUUAUUCUAUUCAUUAACACGUAGAAACUUUUUGAAACACUAUAAUUUUCUCAUAAGCUUUUGGGCAAGGGAAGCUAGGUUUUCAAUUAGAGAAUUAAUUUGGGGCUUGUCUUGGUGAUUCCUUUCCAUCAUCAUCUUGGUUUAAGGCAUGUUCUCUUCCCUCAUUGUUAGUUCUAACUAGAAGCAUGUUUUUUAUGAAUGUUUUCUUGACUUCAUUGGUUGUAUGAUUUUGGGUUUCUAAUAUGAUUUGGGGUUUUUGAUAUUAAAUGGUUGAUUAUGUCUUCCUAUGGUUUUAAUUAUGCUUCAUGUGUAUUAUUGGUGGUUUUGGUUAAUUGGAUUACAUGGGAAUGGUUUAGUGGUAAUUGAAAUUGGUUUUGGUCAUUAUGCCCCCAAUGUGUGUGACAAAAUGCAUUUAGUAAUGUUUUCAUUUUAUUGAGUAUUUUAAUAGAACUCUUGCGUGUUUUAAAACAUGAUAAAGGAAUUAUGCAUGGUUUAAGUGGCUUGUAAAGGUAAAUGGCUAAAUAGUUAUGCUUGUGGUGUACAUGGAAUCCCCUAAGUGGUUUAAUAUGGUAAUUGGAAAGGGCACUUGAAAGUCCCCUUAAAUCUAUAAAUAGUUAGCUAUGGAUGAUACUUGCAAGUAAAGAUUGGUAUGAUGAUACCAAUAUUAAUGACCUUGGUUAAUAACUGGUUAAUGGUUUGGUUAUUUGGAAAAUGGUUUUAAUUAGGCAUAACUGGAAUGAUAUGUAUAAAACUCGUGGAAGGUGGAGGUCCCAGAGAGAGCAAAACUGGAAACUCAUAUUUGUCAAUAUGAAGUUGGCCUUGGUGACUGUGUGCAUGAUGUCACACUAUAUUUUGGGGGAUGUGCUAGUCAUCCCAGAUUUGAUUCCCUGGUUGUAUGUCUUCACGCACUAAGGUACUUUCAGCAGGGGGAGCUGAACCCAUAUGUCCUAUGGGUGGUCUAGGACGGCAAAGCUACACAACCCAGGUAAAGGUUUUAAAGGUAUUCUAAACCUGAUUCCCUUUUCUGACAUUGUUAUAUACAUAUAUACGCAUGGGUGUGUGCGUAUGGAUGGUUUUACUUGAUUUUAUAAAUGGCAUUAUUUUAUCCUUAGCCUGAGAUCAUGCUAGUGUUCACCCGUUAAUCCAUCAACUGCGGCUGUAUCCCCAUGCUAUGCAGGAAUCGACCGUUCUAGUCCUCUUACAUAGUGAUUGACUCGGGAAUCAAUAUUUGGAUUGAAGUGGUGAGCUUUCAUCCUUUUGGGAGCUCUAUUUCAUGUUACAAACAUUUUUUAGACACUUUGAUUUUAUUUUGGAUAGUGGUUUUGGCCAUGGUUGGGGACAUGUCCCAACCAGAUUUUAUUACUAUUUUUUUUAGAGGCUUCGUGGUUCUGCUAUAGGUUAGAAUGGGCAGGAUUGGUAUUGGUGUCAACCUUGGCAUUGGAAUAAGCUCGAGGGCUAACAUCACCGGACAUAAUUUCUCACUGUUCCAUCAUCUUUCAUUUUGGGAUUAAUUAUAUUAUGUUGUGGAACAUCCUUGGUUAUGGCCCGAUUUAUGGCCCAUGUCUUGGUAUUGGCUUGGUAUGGUUGGAUUGUUAGUGCAGAAAGGCUGGACUCAGUAUGGUCAGUUAUAGUUAUGACCUUAUACCAGAGUCUUCAUGUAAGAUGUUGCACUAUCUUGCUACUUGCUCAAAAUUCAGCCUACUCCGGGCAGGCGGCUGGAGGUUGGGUUGGGUAACGGGGGUGGUCUCCGUCCCGGUCGGACUUAGGAAGCCCAUUACAAUAAUUCCCCCAGCUGGAUCGCAUCAUUAAAGGUGGUGAAAAUUAGGUUGAAUAGAGAGGAGUCUAAUGUAAAGUAUGAUGUAUUAAAGCGCUUAGGGAAGACAACCAUUGUUACUGAAUAGAAUAGUUCCUACCCAUCCAUUAUUAUAACCCUUAAAGUCCUACUUAAUAUUCAGCGUUAAUAUUCUGAUAUAGAGUAAUACACUAAGGGAAAACUUAUGUUUCAUCUUAUGUGUCAUAUGAAUUCCUUGUGAGAGUGAGCAAAAUUUGAAUCUUACACACAUGUUUGUGAUGAAUUACAUAUUUGAGAGUGAAUCUAGAUGACUUUCUGUGGUAAGGGCACAUGUUUGAUGAUGAUUAGGUUAUUUGUAUGAUCUCUUUGUGGAGUACUAUGCAUCAGUGUGCCAACUUGGUAGAGUUAAUUUUAGAGGUUAGGAAUAUUUGAAGUAGUGUUCAUGAGUUUUUUAUUUGUAAUAUAACUUGCUUAAUGGGGAACUUGCUAUUCACAUAGUCGUUGUAGUUCUAGCUUGAGUAUCUUAGUUGUAGUAGUGCUUUUAGAGUGUUCCUUGAUGAUUCUUGAUGUAAAGGAUUUCUUGGAGGAAGAACAAGUCCCUAAGUGUGGGGUGAUGAUCUUAGGCGUAUUUAUACUCCUGAAUGUCAUUAUCUAUUCACAUUUAUCUUAGUUUCGAGGACUUCUUUAUGUGAUUAAUGACUUAUUAAGGGUUUAAUUGUGUAUUUAUAUGUUUAAUAACAUGUUUAGAGUGUUUAAGUUUCAAUUGAAACACGUUAAGAGUCAAAAAGAUCAAAUAGAGUUUAGGCGAGGAAACUAGUUACGCUAGCUUGAACUAUGCUAGGUUCUAGUGUACUUUAAUGAACUCUAUUGUGUUGUAUGAACUAAUUUUUGUUAUUUUAUGUUUUAGGAGACGAAUUUAGGUGAUUUGUAAGAUAAUUGAAGCCUACAAAUAAGUCCUAAGAAGUGGUAAAACAAGGAUCGAACGCACGACGAGAUAUGAUCCAAAUAGAGCAAAAUCGGGCACUUGAGAGUACCCCUUGCACCACACACCCCAUGGUAGGAUAGGGGUUCAUCACGACCCCUAGAGUGACCCCUUAAUUUAUUGUCCUCGUGUUGGGUGUGUUCCACAAUCCCAAAAGCAAAUUGGAGGCCUCGCGACGUGAGACAUCCUCUGGGGCGCCCAAAUCUUGAUUUUAAGCCUCAUAAGUGAGGGACAAUGUUGUCAAUUGAUAUAUUUCGUGUUGAGAUACCAAAGGACAACAUAAAACACUAUAAUUGAAUCAAUUAGUCACAAUCUCAUUUCAUCUUUGGAGCAAUACACGGAUUGGAGAGGAGACAAGCAAGCUAGGGGCUCAAACUAGGGUUCUUUGUUCUUAAAUACUUUCUUGUAGUUUUACUUAAUGAACUCAUCUAUGAUGAUUCUUUGUAAGAUUAUGAGUGGAUAAAAAACCUUAUUAUAGGUUUGAGUCUACUAACAUGAUUGUUUAAUUGUGGUUUAUAGUUAGUUUAGAUGUUUAUCAAGUAUGUGAUUGUUCUUAUGUUCUUGUUUUACUAUUCUAAAGUGCCAUGAACUUUAGCAUAAAUUAUGUCCCUAAAAUGAAUUGACCGUAGGAGUUGAGGGAUUGAAUGAAUAAUGUAAGGAGUGUGAACCAUAUCUUCAUUUAUUAGAAUCUAUUGUUAAAGCAUUAUUUGUGUUUAGGAUAGAGUUAUACCUAAACAUCUCACUUGGUUAAUGGAAUGGGAUGAUAGUUUAAUGCAUCUAAGUUAAAGACUCACAUCCUCUCUCAACAAUGUAGCUGUGAGAUUAAUUAGGGUAGAUGACUUAUAGGAUGACCAUUCCAAAGUUAUAAUAUCAACCCCGUAAACCAACAAUCAUGAUAAACACCAACACCGUCUAUAAAUCAUAGUUAUGCAUGAUAAUGUAGUAAUGUUCCAAUCCCUGAACUCUUUGUCUAUUGUUUACAAUACAAAUUUCAUACUAUUGCUCAUUUUUUCUAUUUAGUUUAUAAUUACCAAACUUAAUUUCUUAAUUGGUUACACUCGCACUUAUUUAAUCUCUUUAGUAACACUAGAAUCAGAUAGUUUUCUAAUCACCAAGUCCCUAUGGGAUGGAUAUUCGGCUCAUAAGAGUUACUUUACUACUUGGGUGAUCACGUACACUUGUGUGUUCGCUAGAAUGCAGCAAUGUUCUAAGUUCACUCUAUAUUGGUCCUGACAGUUUGGGUGACGGUUCAUUAGUGUCCUAGAGAGUCAUCAGCUAAGUUGUCACGUGACUUCGAUUGAGCAUCCAUUAUGUAUAUGCUUUAGUUAUUGACGUGACAAUUUGACAAGGUUCUGAUGGUUUGUCAGACAAGCCUUUACCCAUCUUUCAGCAUAAUUUCAUUCUUUUUGUCCUUAGCUCAAUUUUCUGUAAUUUAAACACUGAAGAACAUCAAAACCAUAAAUGUUUACCCAAAAAAUCCUAAUUAUCCUUCAUUAAAAGCAUCAAAAGUUCCAUUAUUAACUGGCACAUCAACGACCCAAAACAAUGAGACUAUAUUGGGAACCCUAGCUACAUAACAAGGCAUUUCUUAAGAGGAAGAAAGAUCGUCCCAUACCGACUAAGAUAUGAUCUCUCACUAUUGGACAAAUAGAAGGACAUAAUGUUUAGGGAAUUAGGAGGUACCACUACCCCUAUCAAGACAUAUCAAACACAUGUAUUCGAUAAAUAAACACCCCUCCCUUAUUACAAGAAAUAGAUUUUUUUCUCAUAAUUACCCUUUAAGUAAUAGAAAUAUCUUUAUUAUCAUACUUAAGUAUUAGCAUUUUCCUUUAGUUGUUUACUAUUUUCUCUUUAUGAUACUCGAGCUCGAUCAUAUUUGUAUUCUUGACUGAUAUGAUCUAACUAUGCCCACGCUAUGAGAUUUGCUCCUAAUCUCUAUUUGUCUAAUUUAUUUUGAUUUUUUAUUUGUUAUUUACUUUUCCGUAAAUAUUUACCACUAAUCCAAAGCUAAGACCGUAACACAAGCUCCUGAAUCACAAAUAAAUUCAAAUAUACCAAAAAUAAGGUAACUAGUUUGGCACCCUUCGUGGGGCCAGAUCAGCUGUGUGGUUUUCAACUUUGUCACCACUAAUUAGUUUUUGAAUUGUGUUUUUCUUUUUAGGGAAGUAGAUCAUGGCUGCCCACUUUGGAAACACCGAGUUCAGGGGUGAAGCAGGGACUGCAUCAAUGGGACUUACCUGGUGAGACUAAGCAUUUAGAGAUAGAGAAGAGACCCUAGCAUUAUCACAAAGAUUGGUAACCAGUCUAUUAAAGAAAAAAACCCUAUUAUUUAAGGUGAAGAAGCCAUGACAGGGCAAUGAUUUUAGGAUGAUUAUUGGGAAUAACAAUCUAGAUUCGCUAGUGAUAUCGAUGAAUGUAGACGAAUGCAAUGUAAAAAGGGUGAUGGUUGACCUGAGAGCUCUUCCAAAAUCAUUCACAAAGGAGUUUACAACUAGAUGGAGUCGAGUGCCACCAUACAAACCACGAUCGAAGCCCUAGUUGGGUUUAACAUGAAAUCAAGGUAAUUAGUGGUGAGGUAACAUUAGUGUCCAUAGUAAGUGUUGUAAAAAGCCCACUAUAUUUUAUAUUAUUGAUGGAGACAUAAGCUACACCAUCAUACUUGGAAGGUCAUGGAUUCAUGACAAAAAAUUCAUCUCAUCGAUAUACCACCGACUGAUUAAGUUUUCCAUCCCGUAUGGUGGAAAACAAAUAAGGAGGACCUGGCUCCCCUUGUGGAAGCAUUCAUAACUCAGUUGGCAAACCAAAAGUAGUCCUUUGGAUGAAAGCACCGGACAAACUUUUGGAGCCAUAAUCUGAGAAGAUGAAGUGGUAUGAGACUAUAGAGUCUAUUACAUCUUCGAUGAAAGGGACACUAUGAAUAGUAUUGUGGAAGAGCUCAAUAAAGUUUCCUUUUUAUUCUUGAUUACCUCAAGAAAAAAAUGUACUUGGGUUUGGGACAUAGUCCAGAGUCCAAAGCUGCUUACCUUAAUUUCCUAUAUGAUAAUUCCAACUAUUUUUCUUGGUCCCACCUUGAUAUUAUAGGUAUCUCUCCCAAGGUGGCAAUGCCUAAGCUUGGCAUAAACCCUGAUGUAAAGUCACUACAAUAAAGACGAUGGCCUAUGUCCAAAGUGAAUAACAAGUUCCUCAAGAGAGAGGUGGAUUGGUACUUAGGAUAGGUUUGGUAUGAGAAGUCAAGUAUCCCUCUUGGUUGGCGAAUGUUAUGGUGGUACCUAAGAAAUUAGGUAAGUUUAUAAGAGGCAUAGAUUUUAAAGAUAUGAACAAAACAUGCCCACAUGACUUCUUCCCCAUCCUAAACAUUGCUCAUAUGAUCAAUUCUAUAAUCAUAUGACCAAUGCUAUGAUCAGACAUGAAUAAUAAGCUUCCCUGAUGCAUAUUGCAGAUAUAACUAGAUCCAAAUAGAUAUGAAACAUCAAGAGAAAAUGUCCUUUCAAACUAACAAUGGUAAUUUUUGUUAUAAUGCGAUACCAUUUGACCCAAAAAAGGCGAGUAUGACUUACCAACAUUUAGUCAACCACAUAUUUGAAUAUCAUAUAGAAAAAUAAUGGAGGUAUAUAUUAAUACAUGCUCGUAAAAUUGCUAGAGACCUGGAAUCACCAAACGUAUCUCAGGAGGUAUUCACAAUAUUUAGAAAGUAAACGUGAAGCUAAAUUUUGAAAAGCAUGAAUUUGUGUAGGAUUAAGUAAGUUUUUAUUUUUCCUCAUGUCAAAUCAAGGAAUAGAGGUAAACCCAAAUAAAAUCCAUGCCAUCAAAAACAUACCAGAACAAAGGAUUAGGCCUUAAAUAGGAAGGGCCAUAUCGAAUAACCGACAUAGCUAGAAAAAGAUCCUAUCAACUGGCUGACCUUCAAGAAAACUACACAACAAUUGGGAUAUAUGUCACUUAAGGAGAUACUAAUUCUGAUCAAGAAACCUAUGCCAAGGCCUAUACUUUUUUCCUCUUAGAUCGGUCUCUUUUUUCUUUUAAGGUUUUUUGUUCAAUAAGGUUUUUAAUGAAGUAGGAUUCAAAAAGAACCCCCAAGGUAAAAUUUUUGAGGGAAAUAUGAAAUAGAAAUGACUAAGCAUAACUGAGAAUGCUAUAGCAAGCGUAUAGAAUGCUUACUAUUUACUCUUUUGUAAUUCAAUAUUCGGGCACGAUUAAAUGAAAAAGUUAUUAUUAUUUUUGUGCAUAUCAUGAUUGAAACAUAAUAGAAAGGUCUUCAAAUUGCCCAAAAGUUUUGACAUUCAAAGUAUUAGGAGACAUCCUAACUUGCAAAAAUGACACAGACAAAAAUCACACCAAAAAAGGUGUCAGCUGCAACCAACCUAUAAAAAGCAUGCUAGAAGACAAUAUAUAUGUAUGUAUAUAUGUAUGUAUGUAUAUAAUCAUGUGAUGCAUACAAUGAAGUAUAUAGGGCCCAACUGCCUGGUUCUUCGAUUCACUAUGCUUUUUAGAUGUAGAACCCUGCCUCCCGAAUAAAAGAAUGGAUUUAGUGGGACUUCCAUAAUAAAAAUUGAUUAGUGUCCACAACCAACCAUCAAAUAUGAGACAAUUUAGUAAUGGAUUUCAUUGCAAAACAAGCUAUCUACGCAAGCAAUAUUAAAUAUAAUGCUCAUCACCAUCGCACAAAAUAACAGUAAUAAUAAAAGAGAAGAGAAAUGACAAGAUAGCUUGAAUAGCACAACAUAACAUAAAUCCAGUACGACAAACUCUCAAAAAUAAAAUAAUGAAAGAAGACCCUAAGAUAGUUCAAAUUCUAGGAAAUAAAGAAAUAAAUAUUGGAAUGGACACAGGUUUCAGGUACCCUAGCCUAAGAGCCUGAUGCUUCUUCAAAUUGCCUCCGAAGGACGAGUCGUCUAGGGAAGAGGCCACUUCCGUAGGGUUGAAGGGUGAACCAAUAUUGAUAUGGUUAGCUGCUCAAACAUUUUAAAAUUCUUUCUCAAUCAAUAAAGGUUUGGCUAGAACCUUCUCAUGGAUACCCAACUUUUACACCCAAAUCUCUUCAUGACGGAUGCUCACAAAAUAGUCCAUCAUGGAUGAGCAUCGAGCCUAGAUCUUCUCUAACUUUCCUCGAAUGAACUUAACCUUCUCCAAUUUUUAGUAAAAGGUAUACUUUAACCAACCGACAAAUUUUACCUCCCCUAGAGAAGCUGUACUUCAGCCUGAGCUAUCACUCCUUCAACAAAUUUCUCUUUCAAAUGGGUGCACAGUUGUGAAUAAUUAUGAAAGUCCUGAUCAGUUAUUGUCUCUGCACUCUUGACUCUAUUAGAAAGAUUUUUAACUUUGAGGUUUAACUUUGCUUGUGUCUCCUUAUCUACAAAAGAGCAAUUCUUUGAGUUGCAAACCUUUUUUCUAAGGCAGUAAUCGUCUCCUUAAGUUUCCUCAUAUUUAUAUCCACCUAUUCUUAAGAAAGAGAUUCACACAUAUAAGGAUAAGCCCACCACAAAUAAAGAAAUGGAGAGAGAAAAAUUUAUAAAGAGUUUGACAAGCUCACCUGCGACAAAGACCUGGUGAUGCCCUUGAAAAGAGUCCUACGGGAGUAAAAAGCUCCAUACUUCCUCUACAGGGAAGUAAUCUGCCAAGUGAGUUAUGCAUCCCACUGGGGUCCUAUCAAAUUAGUAGAACUAGGGACUACAGGCAUAUCUGAAUAACUACCUCAUUGAUUCCAUCUGCAAGACAUGGAUCAAUAUGAGGCGGAAAGGGAUGAGACACCAAGGAUUGGUAUUUUGAGGCAAUAACUUUAGGAACAUCCAUCUAGGACGUACUCCCUCUAGUAGAGAAGAGACCCACUCAACUAUUACCUCUUAUUUGAGGAUAAAAAUCUCAUAUC